CGAACGGGUGAGUAAUGCGUGACCAACCUGCCCCAUGCUCCAGAAUAGCUCUUGGAAACGGGUGGUAAUGCUGGAUGCUCCAACCUGACGCAUGUCUUGUUGGGAAAGUGUUUAGUGGCAUGGGAUGGGGUCGCGUCCUAUCAGCUUGUAGGCGGGGUAAUGGCCCACCUAGGCUUCGACGGGUAGCCGGCCUGAGAGGGCGGACGGCCACAUUGGGACUGAGAUACGGCCCAGACUCCUACGGGAGGCAGCAGGA
rnacentral:rRNA from 1 species